rnacentral:rRNA from 1 species
GACGAACGCUGGCGGCGUGCUUAACACAUGCAAGUCGAACGGAAAGGCCCUGCUUUUGUGGGGUGCUCGAGUGGCGAACGGGUGAGUAACACGUGAGUAACCUGCCCUUGACUUUGGGAUAACUUCAGGAAACUGGGGCUAAUACCGGAUAGGAGCUCCUGCUGCAUGGUGGGGGUUGGAAGUUUCGGCGGUUGGGGAUGGACUCGCGGCUUAUCAGCUUGUUGGUGGGGUAGUGGCUUACCAAGGCUUUGACGGGUAGCCGGCCUGAGAGGGUGACCGGCCACAUUGGGACUGAGAUACGGCCCGGACUCCUACGGGAGGCAGCAGUGGGGAAUAUUGCACAAUGGGCGGAAGCCUGAUGCAGCAACGCCGCGUGCGGGAUGACGGCCUUCGGGUUGUAAACCGCUUUCGCCUGUGACGAAGCGUGAGUGACGGUAAUGGGUAAAGAAGCACCGGCUAACUACGUG